rfam:Felis catus isolate Cinnamon breed Abyssinian chromosome E1, whole genome shotgun sequence.
GCCUGGGUGGCUCAGUCGGUUGAGCAUCUGACUUUGGCUCAGGUCAUGAUCUCACGGCUUGUGGCUUCAAGCCCCACAUCAGGCU